rnacentral:rRNA from 1 species
UGGGGAAUAUUGCGCAAUGGGCGAAAGCCUGACGCAGCGACGCCGCGUGAGGGAUGAAGGUUUUCGGAUCGUAAACCUCUGUCAGAAGGGAAGAAACCGCACUGUGCUAAUCAGCAGUGCCUUGACGGUACCUUCAAAGGAAGCACCGGCUAACUCCGUGCCAGCAGCCGCGGUAAUACGGAGGGUGCAAGCGUUAAUCGGAAUUACUGGGCGUAAAGCGCACGUAGGCUGCUUUGUAAGUCAGGUGUGAAAUCCCACGGCUCAACCGUGGAACUGCCUUUGAUACUGCUUAGCUUGAAUCCGGGAGAGGGUGGCGGAAUUCCAGGUGUAGGAGUGAAAUCCGUAGAUAUCUGGAGGAACAUCAGUGGCGAAGGCGGCCACCUGGACCGGUAUUGACGCUGAGGUGCGAAAGCGUGGGGAGCAAACAGG